UACGUAGGGUGCGAUCGUUGUCCGGAAUUAUUGGGCGUAAAGAGCUCGUAGGCGGUCUGUCGCGUCUGCUGUGAAAACUCAGGGCUUAACCCUGAGCUUGCAGUGGGUACGGGCAGACUAGAGUGCGGUAGGGGAGACUGGAAUUCCUGGUGUAGCGGUGAAAUGCGCAGAUAUCAGGAGGAACACCGGUGGCGAAGGCGGGUCUCUGGGCCGUAACUGACGCUGAGGAGCGAAAGCAUGGGGAGCGAACAGG
rnacentral:rRNA from 1 species